AGUGAACGCUGGCGGUAGGCCUAACACAUGCAAGUCGAACGGUAACAGGUCUUCGGAUGCUGACGAGUGGCGAACGGGUGAGUAAUACAUCGGAACGUGCCUAGUAGUGGGGGAUAACUACUCGAAAGAGUGGCUAAUACCGCAUGAGAUCUACGGAUGAAAGCAGGGGAUCGCAAGACCUUGUGCUACUAGAGCGGCCGAUGGCAGAUUAGGUAGUUGGUGGGAUAAAAGCUUACCAAGCCGACGAUCUGUAGCUGGUCUGAGAGGACGAUCAGCCACACUGGGACUGAGACACGGCCCAGACUCCUACGGGAGGCAGCAGUGGGGAAUUUUUGACAAUGGGCGCAAGCCUGAUCCAGCAAUGCCGCGUGCAGGAUGAAGGCCUUCGGGUUGUAAACUGCUUUUGUACGGAACGAAAAGCCCUGGGUUAAUACCCUGGGGUCAUGACGGUACCGUAAGAAUAAGCACCGGCUAACUACGUACCAGCCGCCGCCGUAA
rnacentral:rRNA from 1 species